rnacentral:misc_RNA from 1 species
CUUUUCUGCCAGCGAAUCGGUUACUACCUAGUUUUGUGGUGUUGGCAGUCGGUGUUAUAGGAUGUGAUGAGCUAAGUGGUGCACUGGUGAUAGAUGAAGUGGGCGGAAGACUGCAGAAUGCAUGCGCAGCAGGAGUUUGUCAAGCAGGACAGUUCCAACAUAGACGGGAAAGCGUUAAGACGUGUAGAAUUCGUGAAAGAGACCGCUGAUUUCGAAGAGAAAUGUUCCUUGAAGGAUGUAGCCAAAAAAAAUUUGUCGGAUGGCGUGAUAUGGUCAUGUGGAAGGCCUU